AGUUAAUGAACUUGAAUAAGUAUAUAUUUUGAAAAUAUAAGAUACUGGUAUAAUCCUUUAUUAACUU
rnacentral:tRNA from 1 species